rnacentral:rRNA from 1 species
UAGUCAUAUGCUUGUCUCAAAGAUUAAGCCAUGCAUGUCUAAGUAUAAACAAAUCUAUACUGUGAAACUGCGAAUGGCUCAUUAAAUCAGUUAUAGUUUAUUUGAUAGUACCUUACUACUUGGAUAACCGUAGUAAUUCUAGAGCUAAUACAUGCGAAAAAAACCCGACUUCUGGGAGGGUUGUAUUUAUUAGAUACAAAACCAACACGGAGCAAUCCGGGAUGUGGUGACUCAUAAUAACUAAGCGGACCGCAUGGCUUCAUGCUGGCGGCGAAUCAUUCAAAUUUCUGCCCUAUCAACUUUCGAUGGUAAGGUAUUGGCUUACCAUGGUUACAACGGGUAACGGAGAAUUAGGGUUCGAUUCCGGAGAGGGAGCCUGAGAAAUGGCUACCACUUCCAAGGAAGGCAGCAGGCGCGCAAAUUACCCAAUCCUAAUACAGGGAGGUAGUGACAAAACAUAACAAUACGGGGCCUUCGGGUUUCCGUAAUUGGAAUGAGUACAAUUUAAAUCCAUUAACAAGAACCAAUU